CACAGUAAUGAGACCCUGAUUUUGUCCAGGAUGGCAAUGUGCCAAGUCCCAGAUGGUCUAGAUCAGGGCUGGCGAUUUUUUUGUUGUUGUUAAAGAGCCUGUUAGAAAACAUUUUGGGCUUUGUGGCCAUACAGUAUUUAUUACAACUGCUCAUUUCUGCCAUUAUAGUGCAAGAGCAGCCAUAGACAAUACGUAAACGCGUGGGCAUAGCAAUGUUGAAAAACCCCACAAAAACUCUAUUUACAAAAGGUAAUGGGGCAGAUUCGUUACCAGGGCUGUAGUUUGCUGACCUCUGAUUCUAAGCCAAAUAUUUUGAUUUCAGGAACUCUUCACACCCUUAAGAAUUAUUAAGGACACCAAAGAGCUUUUGUUUAUGUGGGUUACAUCUAUCAAUGUUUUACAUGUAAAAAUUAAAACUGAGAAUUUAAAAAAACAUUUAUUUCAUUUAAAAAUAAUAGUAAGCCCAUUGGUAUAAAACAACUGUGUUUUCCAAAACAAAGAACUAGUGAGACAAUAUUUUUCAGUUUGCAAACCUCUUUAACAUCUGCCUUGCUUGAAGACCGUUGGAUGCUCGUAUCUUCUUCUGUGUUGUCUGGUGCGAUAUGUGGUUUUAGUCGAAAAUUCAGUGUCAUACAGAGGUGUAGUUGGAAAGGAAGACCUUGCAGAACCAUGGCAAAGGAGACCCUCAGGACACUCUGAGGACCACUGGCCCAUGUUGAUCAUGGGGGUUUUCUCAUGUGCUAGAUACUCAGCUUCCCAGCCUCCUUUGCAGCUGUGGUGAUGAUGUGACCCGGUUGCAGCUUGCCUUGUGCUAACUAGUGGACGUGGGCAAUUUGGUUAACCUCUUUGGGCUUCAUUUGGAAAAUGGGAAUAAAAAUAAUGCCUAAUUCAUCUGAGCACUGUAAAGAUUUAAUAAGUUACACAUAUAAAGCACCUAUUUUAAUGUCUGACACAUAGUAAGCAAGCGAGUGAUACCUAUGAUGAUACCUAUGAUACCUUUGAUGAUGAUGAUGAUUACAGUCGAUCAGAUCUCAGGAAUAUCGGCUUAGGGUAGCACUAGGUAGUGCUUACUUUCAUAGUAAAAGGACUGGUGCCCCAAAGUGUGGACACAGUCCCUACUCAGUUUUGUGAGGCAGCACUUUAUACCAGGCUGUGAACCACAGGGGCGAACAGAGGAAUCACAACCAAGAGCAGGAAGCAGGAUAACACUGGAUAUCCGACAUCACUGCCUCUGAAAUCUGAUGGUCAAUGCAGUCCCAGAGAUGAACCUAUGGUCUUCUUUGUCCUUAGGUUCUGGAUGGCUGCCAUGUUGCUGGUACCCACUUCAUCUACAAAUGCUCUGUGAUAAGCGGAAUUCUAAAGAUGUCCCCCAAGACAUCAGUCCUCUGGUUAAUCAAACACUAACCUAGGUACUGUUGUGAAGGGGCUUUAUAGAUAUAAUUAAGUUUACGAAACAGCUGAUGAAAUAGAGCAGCCUGGGUUAUCCAGGUGGCCCCAAUCUAAUCAUUGGGGCCCAUAAAAGCAGAUAAAUUUAUUCAGCUGGAGUCAAAGAUGCAGUAGAAGAGGAAAGCAGAGGAGAGGUAAGGAAGGAGAGAGAUCAGAGAGAUGUGACACAUGAGAAGAGCUUAGCCAUUGUUGGCUUUGAAGAUGGAGGAGGCAGAGUGAGAGCCAAAAAAUAAGGGUGUCCUCUAAAAGCUGUGUGAGACCCGGAUGAAAGCCAGUAAGGAAACAGAGACCUCCAUCCUACAACCUCAUGGACCUGAAUCCUGCCAACAACCUAAAUGAGCCUGGAAGCAGAUUUUCACCCAGAGCUUCCAGUGAGGAAUACAGCCCUGCCGUCUUCUUGAUGUUAGCCCCAUGAGAGCCUGUCGAACUUCUGAUCUGCAGAAACUUGCGAACAGAUUGGCUCUUCCCUGUGUCAGCUUAAUCCUCACAGAACACGUAACAGACUCGAAUAGCGCCUCAUCAUGGCCUCUCAACAAAACUCUCAGACCAAGAGGUUAACCCUUGGGCAAUGUCUGGAUCUCUGACUUCAGGUUCCUUAUCUACAUAAUUUCGAAAAGAAUACCUUGCAGGUAUGUGAGGAUGAAGUGAGAGUGGCCACCUCAAGUGCCUAGGACAGAGUCACCCGAUGCUAUUAUAAUUCAUGGGUAUCAUUACUGGAUCUUCCAGCUCCAAACCAGCCUAUAUGUUGCUGCCAGAUUAAUCUUUCCCAAAUACAAUUUUGAUCAUGUCACUUCCUAUCCUCCUGCAAAAGCUGCAGUUGCCAGUAGAGAAAGUCUGUGUGUAAGGGGAGUACUUACCUCAUUUUUCCUAUCUGGAUGCCAGAAUCUUGACUACAAGAGUCAAGUAGCUCCCACUCAGCCCACUCUCUCCAUAAAAAUACCUGGAGAGGUUCUCAAAUGUAUAAAGACAAUACAAGGGUUUGUUAAUCGUGGUUGAACCCACCCGA
ensembl:lncRNA